GGCCCUGCUUUUGUGGGGUGCUCGAGUGGCGAACGGGUGAGUAACACGUGAGUAACCUGCCCUUGACUUUGGGAUAACUUCAGGAAACUGGGGCUAAUACCGGAUAGGAGCUCCUGCUGCAUGGUGGGGGUUGGAAAGUUUCGGCGGUUGGGGAUGGACUCGCGGCUUAUCAGCUUGUUGGUGGGGUAGYGGCUUACCAAGGCUUUGACGGGUAGCCGGCCUGAGAGGGUGACCGGCCACAUUGGGACUGAGAUACGGCCCAGACUCCUACGGGAGGCAGCAGUGGGGAAUAUUGCACAAUGGGCGGAAGCCUGAUGCAGCAACGCCGCGUGCGGGAUGACGGCCUUCGGGUUGUAAACCGCUUUCGCCUGUGACGAAGCGUGAGUGACGGUAAUGGGUAAAGAAGCACCGGCUAACUACGUGCCAGCAGCCGCGGUGAUACGUAGGGUGCGAGCGUUGUCCGGAUUUAUUGGGCGUAAAGGGCUCGUAGGUGGUUGAUCGCGUCGGAAGUGUAAUCUUGGGGCUUAACCCUGAGCGUGCUUUCGAUACGGGUUGACUUGAGGAAGGUAGGGGAGAAUGGAAUUCCUGGUGGAGCGGUGGAAYGCGCAGAUAUCAGGAGGAACACCAGUGGCGAAGGCGGUUCUCUGGGCCUUUCCUGACGCYGAGGAGCGAAAGCGUGGGGAGCGAACAGGCUUAGAUACCCUGGUAGUCCACGCUGUAAACGGUGGGUACUAGGUGUGGGGUCCAUUCCACGGGUUCCGUGCCGUA
rnacentral:rRNA from 1 species